rnacentral:misc_RNA from 1 species
GAUGAAGAACGUAGUGAAAUGCGAUAAGUAAUGUGAAUUGCAGAAUUCAGUGAAUCAUCGAAUCUUUGAACGCACCUUGCACCCUUUGGACUGCUCCAAAGGGUAUGCUCGUUUGAGUGUCAUUGUACUCUCACACUCUCUGAUCCUUUGGAUUUGGGGAGCAGUGGACUUGGGUGCUUGCUGCUUCCUUGUGGCUCACCUGAAAUGCAUCAGUGCAACUCUCGGUUGGACAUAGUACGGCGUGAUAAGUGUCUUCGCCGGCGCCUCAUUCGAGGGUGGCCGAUCGGGAGCUCUGUGCUUCAAACUGUCUUCGGACAACAUCUGACAACUUGACCUCAAAUCGAGUAGGACUACCCGCUGAACUUAAGCAUAUCAAUAAGCGGAGGA